rnacentral:rRNA from 1 species
AACGAACGCUGGCGGCAGGCUUAACACAUGCAAGUCGAACGCACCUUUCGGGGUGAGUGGCCGACGGGUGAGUAACGCGUGGGAAUCUACCCUUCUCUACGGGAUAGCUCCGGGAAACUGGAAUUAAUACCGUAUACGUCCUGAGGGCGAAAGAUUUAUCGGGGAAGGAUGAGCCCGCGUUGGAUUAGCUAGUUGGUGGGGUAAAGGCCUACCAAGGCGACGAUCCAUAGCUGGGCUAAGAGGAUGAUCAGCCACAUUGGGACUGAGACACGGCCCAAACUCCUACGGGAGGGAGCAGUGGGGAAUAUUGGACAAUGGGCGCAAGCCUGAUCCAGCCAUGCCGCGUGAGUGAUGAAGGCACUAGGGUUGUAAAGCUCUUUCAGUGGGGACGAUAAUGACGGUACCCACAGAAGAAGCCCCGGCUAACUUCGUG